UGCCCCCUCCCGUGCCUCCCCCCUCCGCCAGCGAGAGGACUUCCUCCUCCGCUGUACUCCUGCCUCUACAGAGAGUUCUGCCCCCUUCCGUGCCUCCUCACCGCUGCUGCGACAACCUACCCCCUCCCCUGCCUCCCGGCCGCUGCCCUCGUUCCGGCGGCACUCCCCGCUCUCUGCUUCGCCCUCGUCAAAGAUCCUGGUCACCAGAGAGCCUGAGGAGAGCAAGCAUCGCUCAAGCUCUGCAUGCUCUUGGCGGGCCAGGCGACACUGAGCUAGGCGCCGACGGAGGUCAUCCACAUCUUCGUUCUCGUGCUGCUCCUUGAAGAGGAUAUAAAAGUGAAGGCAGAAGAAAAAUAAUAAUAAAAUGAAAAGAAGGGACUUGAAGGACCGGGAACAGAUUUACAAUACAAUUGAUUAACAUGAAGCAAAAUCGGCGAACUAAGCUUCAAUGGCACUCUUGUUGUGCUUCGUCAUGAACACUUCUUUUCAUAUACUUAUCGAAUAAAUUGAGAAAUGUAAGCCUCUGAUGCUUCUACAUCAAUUUCAACAGUAUGUGGAGGUAGAGUUCUUUGUUUCUAGUGCUACUACUAUACUUAUAAAGGUCAAUCUGCACACCUUACUUUUGCAACAGCAUGUCCUGCACUUCAGUGCAUCAUUUUGAAUAAUCAAAACCUCAUGGCAACAGAAUCAUCCUCACAAUGGCAUAUCUUUAAUAACAUUCAGAGACAUAAGUUGAUACACAUUUUAAAAAUUGAUGACAUAAAAUAUCUAAGAAUAAAAAUAUAGGGAAAGUAAAUAUAGCAUCCAACAUUCAUAUCAAAUCCACGAAGGUCUUUUAUAGGAGUACACAAUGUAAGAAUAAUCUGAGAAUGUUCAAAAAAGCCGAACCGGCAACUCUUCAAUCAAACAUAAAAUUCUGACCCUAGUAUGUUGACCAAAUAUCUAACAAAUUGCGGAAUGUGUUCUCUGUCUAUGUAGAUUAGUUUGUUGCUAGAGUUUGUAGAUCGGUAGCAAACAAUAUAUUUGGGUGGACUAAACAAAAACGAGUUUAUAUUACUAUCAAUUUGUGGGAAACUUCACAGCUAGCUAGAGACACGAGGCUGUACUAAACAGUGCACCUUCUGGGUUUUGUUUCCACUGCCUCAUGUCACUAAUUUUCAUAAUAAUCAAACUUAUAUUGUUUAAGAAUACUCUGAAUAUACUUUCCAACCAAUAUCUACUCAGGCAUGAACAAAAAAUGGUCAUACUCAGGCAUCUACUUUCUCCCCUGAAUGCAAAAUGAGCAAUCCAUGAAAGUAGGUAUGUUUAUGAUCCACUCUUAUAUUCAACCCUGGAAGUUCAUUUGUCCGAUGCAUGAUGGGUGAACUGGUAUCUACUUUCUCCCCUGGAUGCAAACUGAUCAGUUUUGAUUUGUCAUUGAAUUUUCUUGACGCUUAAACAGUGCUCAUCGUUUGGUUGUUUAUUACUGCAGAUUCAAAGGCUAUUCCAACAAGUGGGAUGUACCUUCACCAAACCCGAUGAUCCGAACAGAGGCUGUAAACCUGAGAAAUACUCCCAGAUCACACACAAGGUAUUCAAACUGGUUAGAUCUCAAAGCAUGAAACAGAAAGUCUCCUAACAAGUGGAGAGACAACCAAAGCACCAUAGAUAAAUUGUCAGUUUACCAUCAAAGUAAAUUCCAUGAUUUUGAUUAGAAUGAAGAACCAAAGCAAACUGCACUUUUCAAGUGAUGGAUGCCACAUAACCAUGGUAUUUAUCAUGAGGCAUUCCUGAACGAUUAUACUAUUUGGCAAUCAUGAUUUCAUGAGGGAAAUAAAAUUAUCUAUGCAACGUUCCUGAGUGGGCAUCAUGUAGCACCACAAAUAUUGACUUACAAUAGAAUUGUCGAUAUAUCUCUUUGUGUAAAAAAUUUCUCUUGCUCGUCUGUUGACGAUACUAACAUUCAUUAUGUACUCAUACCAGACCAAGACUAUAGUCACAUAUAAUGGAUGGCAGAAGGUACUACCAGCUUGAUCCAUCAAUGUAGUCAGCGAUAAUUAUGCACUGUUUAGCAAACCAUUAGGUUUUCAAUGCUCAACCAUCCGCGGGAAAGCAUUUCUUGAACACAAGUAUUACUGAUUGACUCAUAAAAUGUGUGUUCAUGAAAUCUCCUUCAAAAUCAGAAUUUAUCUUUUUGAUUGGUUCAUCUGGAUAGAUACAUUGUAGAUAUGAUAACAAAUUGGAUUACGCUAGUAGUAUAGUUCUAAAAUCACCAGACACACACCACAAAUCAUCUAGCACUCCCUAUUUAGCAUAUUUGCCGCCAAUCCAUUUUUGAAUGCAAAAACUUCAAACAUUCAGGUAUAUUUUUGAAUUGCAGCCUUUGAUAUGAUCGAGUCUGAAUACGGAAUUACCUGUACCGUAGUCUUUGUGCGGAUGUGCUCCUCUAUCUUCUUCCAGUUGCAACCAAACCUGAAAUCCACACGAAUCAAUCAGCUUGCUCAGUGACUGCAGAUUAUCUGGAAUUGUAGGCGAAGUAGAACAGAGCACGUAUCAGGGUACCUGUGGAGGGCAUCAAGGAUUCGACACCUUCAGUAGAUUUAUCCCUGGCGAUUCCCGGAGAUCAUGCUUUGAGGUACCCUUUAUAUAUGCUUGCACCAUAUCUCGCCCAGCCAUGCUUCAAGGGAUUACUUUCCUUUCCAGGAGAUUUAUGAUAUCUAGAUUUAUAUGAUUUUAAUUACCUUUCCUGUAAUUAUGGGCGGUGAUGGUGCCCUGAAAGUAUGGUGCGGUGAUGGAAUUUCCUGUAAUUCUUGUUUCCUGUAAUUCUUGUUUCCUAUAAUUCCUGCUGUCUGAUGGUCGUCAAAAAAUGCGUAAUCCUAUGAAUUGUUUCCUAUAAUGCUGGACAACAUUUAUGGCGCGCUGAUGCAUUGUUUGAUGGAAUGUAAUCCCAUGAAUUAUGGUCGGUGAUGGUGGACAUCAUUUAUGGCGCGCUGAUGGAAUUUCCUGUAAUUCUUGUUGUUGCCUGAUGGUCGUCCAAAAAAUGUGUAAUCCUAUGCAUUGUUUGAUGGUGUGGUGGGAGGGCAAAAUAGUCAGAUCAAAAAUAUGUAGGACGAAACCUUGGGCCGGAGGAA